UGGCUCAGUGGUAGAGCACUUGCCUUCCAUGCACGAGGCCCUGGGUUCGAUUCCUCAG
rnacentral:tRNA from 1 species